GCGGUCAUGGCGGAACGGUAGACGCGCUAGCUUGAGGUGCUAGUGGGGCAACCCGUGGAAGUUCGAGUCUUCUUGACCGCA
rnacentral:tRNA from 1 species